rnacentral:rRNA from 1 species
UACGGGGGGGGCUAGCGUUGUUCGGAAUUACUGGGCGUAAAGGGCGCGUAGGCGGUCUGCUAAGUUGGAUGUGAAAACUCUGGGCUUAACCCAGAGCCUGCAUUCAAUACUGACAGGCUAGAGUUCUGGAGGGGAUAGCGGAAUUCCUGGUGUAGCGGUGAAAUGCGUAGAUAUCUGGAGGAACACCGGUGGCGAAGGCGGCAUCCUGGACCGGCAUUGACGCUGAGGCGCGAAAGCUAGGGGAGCAAACGGG